AUUGAACGCUGGCGGCAGGCCUAAUACAUGCAAGUCGAGCGAGCGGCGGACGGGCGAGCAAUGUCGGGGAAACUGCCUGACGGAGGGGGCUAACUACUGGAAACGGUGGCUAAUACCGCAUACCAUCGGUUGUGCCCAGGUGGGAUUAUCUAGUAGGUGGGGUAAAGGCUCACCUAGGCGACGGUCCCCACCUGGUCUGCGAGGAAGACCGGCCACACUGGAACUGAGACACGGUCCAGACUCCUACGGUAGGCAGCGUUGGGAAAUAUUGCACAAUGGGCGAAAGCCUGAUGCAGCAAUGCCGGGUGUAUGAAGAAGGCCUUCGGUUUGUAAAGUAGUUUCAGCGGGGAGGCGGUAUCCGAACAAGAAGCACCGGCUAACUCCGUGCCAGCAGCCGCGGUAAUUC
rnacentral:rRNA from 1 species